rnacentral:rRNA from 1 species
GACGAACGCUGGCGGCGCGCUUAACACAUGCAAGUCGAACGGAAAGGCCUGCUUUCCCUUGUGGAUUGCGGGUACUCGAGUGGCGAACGGGUGAGUAACACGUGAGUGAUCUGCCCCCAACUUGGGUAUAAGCCUGGGAAACUGGGUCUAAUUCCCGAUAGGACUGCAGGGUGGUGCCUGUGGUGGAAAACGAUUUUCUAGUGGUUGGGGAUGAGCUCGCGGCCUAUCAGCUUGUUGGUGGGGUAAUGGCCUACCAAGGCGGGGACGGGUAGCCGGCCUGGGAGGGUGGACGGGCACAUUGGGACUGAGAUACGGCCCAGACUACUACGGGAGGCAGCAGUGGGGAAUAUUGCACAAUGGGCGGAAGACUGAUGCAGCGACGCCGAGUGGGGGAUGACGGCCUUCGGGUUGUAAACUCCUUUCGACCGCGAGGAAGCCACCUGGUUGGAAGGGUGGUGACGGUAGUGGUAGAAGAAGCACCGGCUAACUACGUG